CCUACGGUGGGCUGCAGUGAGGAAUAUUGGUCAAUGGGCGCGAGCCUGAACCAGCCAAGUAGCGUGAAGGAUGACUGCCCUACGGGUUGUCACCUUCUUUUAUAAAUGAAUUAAUUGAGGCACGUUUGCCUUUUUGUAUGUCCUUUAUGAAUAAGGAUCGGCUAACUCCGUGCCAGCAGCCGCGGUAAUACGGAGGAUCCGAGCGUUAUCCGGAUUUAUUGGGUUUAAAGGGAGCGUAGAUGGGUUGUUAAGUCAGUUGUGAAAGUUUGCGGCUCAACCGUAAAAUUGCAAUUGAUACUGGCAGUCAUGAGUACAGUUGAGGUAGGCGGAAUUCGUGGUGGAGCGGUGAAAUGCUUAGAUAUCACGAAGAACUCCGAUUGCGAAGGCAGCUUACUAAACUGCCACUGACAUUGAUGCUCGAAAGUGUGGGUAUCAAACAGGAUUAGAUACCCUAGUAGUC
rnacentral:rRNA from 1 species